GGCGAACGCUGGCGGCGUGCUUAACACAUGCAAGUCGAACGGAAAGGCCCUGCUUGCAGGGUGCUCGAGUGGCGAACGGGUGAGUAACACGUGGGUGAUCUGCCCCUUACUUUGGGAUAAGCCUGGGAAACUGGGUCUAAUACUGGAUAGGACCAUGCUGUAGGUGGUGUGGUGGAAAGAUUAGUUUCGGUAAGGGAUGAGCUCGCGGCCUAUCAGCUUGUUGGUGGGGUAAUGGCCUACCAAGGCGUCGACGGGUAGCCGGCCUGAGAGGGUGGACGGCCACAUUGGGACUGAGAUACGGCCCAGACUCCUACGGGAGGCAGCAGUGGGGAAUAUUGCACAAUGGGCGCAAGCCUGAUGCAGCGACGCCGCGUGGGGGAUGACGGCCUUCGGGUUGUAAACUCCUUUCAGCCAUGACGAAGCCCUUGUGGUGACGGUAGUGGUAGAAGAAGCACCGGCUAACUACGUG
rnacentral:rRNA from 1 species